UUGAAACACCAGUUCUCAUAUGAUCUGCAAAGUUAAGCAAUGUUGGGCUUAGUCGGUACCUAGAUGGGUGACUGCUUAGGAAUAGCAAGUGCUGUAAG